rnacentral:rRNA from 1 species
UGGGGAAGUUUUCCGCAAUGGGCGAAAGCCUGACGGAGCAAUGCCGCGUGGAGGUGGAAGGCCUACGGGUCGUCAACUUCUAUUCUCGGAGAAGAAACAAUGACGGUAUCUGAGGAAUAAGCAUCGGCUAACUCUGUGCCAG